rnacentral:rRNA from 1 species
GACGGAAGGUGCAAGCGUUGCUCGGAAUCACUGGGCGUAAAGGGUGCGUAGGCGGCUGUGCAAGUCUGGCGUGAAAGCCCCGGGCUCAGCCCGGGAAGUGCGCUCGAAACCGCGCAGCUCGAGUGCCGGAGGGGAGAGUGGAAUUCCUGGUGUAGCGGUGAAAUGCGUAGAUAUCAGGAGGAAUACCGGUGGCGAAAGCGACUCUCUGGACGGCAACUGACGCUGAGGCACGAAAGCGUGGGGAGCAAACAGG